AUUGAACGCUGACGGCAGGCCUAACACAUGCAAGUCGGACGGUAGCACAGAGAGCUUGCUCUUGGGUGACGAGUGGCGGACGGGUGAGUAAUGUCUGGGGAUCUGCCCGAUAGAGGGGGAUAACCACUGGAAACGGUGGCUAAUACCGCAUAACGUCGCAAGACCAAAGAGGGGGACCUUCGGGCCUCUCACUAUCGGAUGAACCCAGAUGGGAUUAGCUAGUAGGCGGGGUAAUGGCCCACCUAGGCGACGAUCCCUGGCUGGUCUGAGAAGAUGACCAGCCACACUGGAACUGAGACACGGUCCAGACUCCUACGGGAGGCAGCAGUGGGGAAUAUUGCACAAUGGGCGCAAGCCUGAUGCAGCCAUGCCGCGUGUAUGAAGAAGGCCUUCGGGUUGUAAAGUACUUUCAGCGGGGAGGAAGGCGGUGCGGUUAAUAACCGUACCGAUUGACGUUACCCGCAGAAGAAGCACCGGCUAACUCCGUGCCAGCAGCCGCGGUAA
rnacentral:rRNA from 1 species